rnacentral:miRNA from 1 species
UGCCCUUCUCUCCUCCUGCCU